GGAAGUUGAGGUUGGUGGGGGCAUCGGUGCAUCCUCGGCAGGAGUUGUGCUUGUAGACGGUGGAGGGUCCUGAGUGGCAGUUGGAACUAUUGGAGGCUGGGUCGCAUCUGGGAUACAAUCGCCGAGGUCUAGUUCAAUAUCACCCAGGUCAUCAAACAAUCGUUGCACUCCAUCAUCCUUGCCGGAAUUAGCGAUUCGCUAGAGCUGAGCUGCCAUCUAAUCUGACUAUGUAACCUGUCUCUCGAGGCCCUCCAAAAGCUGCUGCAGUACCUAGUUAAAACC
rnacentral:lncRNA from 1 species